UACCAGCACCCCGAGUGGUCGGGACGAUUAUUGGGCCUAAAGCAUCCGUAGCCGGUUCUGCAAGUCCCCCGUUAAAUCCAGCUGCUCAACAGAUGGGCCGCGGAGGAUACUCCAGAGCUAGGAGGCAGGAGAGGCAAGCGGUACUCAGUGGGUAGGGGUAAAAUCCGUUGAUCCAUUGAAGACCACCAGUGGCGAAGGCGGCUUGCCAGAAUGCGCUCGACGGUGAGGGAUGAAAGCUGGGGGAGCAAACCGG
rnacentral:rRNA from 2 species